GGGGGGACCAUCCUCCAAGGCUAAAUACUCCUGACUGACCGAUAGUGAACCAGUACCGUGAGGGAAAGGCGAAAAGAACCCCGGCGAGGGGAGUGAAAAAGAACCUGAAACCGUGUACGUACAAGCAGUGGGAGCCCUGAUUUAUCAGGGUGACUGCGUACCUUUUGUAUAAUGGGUCAGCGACUUAUAUUCUGUAGCAAGGUUAACCGAAUAGGGGAGCCGGAGGGAAACCGAGUCUUAACUGGGCGUUAAGUUGCAGGGUAUAGACCCGAAACCCGGUGAUCUAGCCAUGGGCAGGUUGAAGGUUGGGUAACACUAACUGGAGGACCGAACCGACUAAUGUUGAAAAAUUAGCGGAUGACUUGUGGCUGGGGGUGAAAGGCCAAUCAAACCGGGAGAUAGCUGGUUCUCCCCGAAAGCUAUUUAGGUAGCGCCUCGUGAAUUCAUCUCCGGGGGUAGAGCACUGUUUCGGCAAGGGGGUCAUCCCGACUUACCAACCCGAUGCAAACUGCGAAUACCGGAGAAUGUUAUCACGGGAGACACACGGCGGGUGCUAACGUCCGUCGUGAAGAGGGAAACAACCCAGACCGCCAGCUAAGGUCCCAAAGUCAUGGUUAAGUGGGAAACGAUGUGGGAAGGCCCAGACAGCCAGGAUGUUGGCUUAGAAGCAGCCAUCAUUUAAAGAAAGCGUAAUAGCUCACUGGUCGAGUCGGCCUGCGCGGAAGAUGUAACGGGGCUAAACCAUGCACCGAAGCUGCGGCAGCGACGCUGAUGCGUUGUUGGGUAGGGGAGCGUUCUGUAAGCCUGUGAAGGUGUGCUGUGAGGCAUGCUGGAGGUAUCAGAAGUGCGAAUGCUGACAUAAGUAACGAUAAAGCGGGUGAAAAGCCCGCUCGCCGGAAGACCAAGGGUUCCUGUCCAACGUUAAUCGGGGCAGGGUGAGUCGACCCCUAAGGCGAGGCCGAAAGGCGUAGUCGAUGGGAAACAGGUUAAUAUUCCUGUACUUGGUGUUACUGCGAAGGGGGGACGGAGAAGGCUAUGUUGGCCGGGCGACGGUUGUCCCGGUUUAAGCGUGUAGGCUGGUUUUCCAGGCAAAUCCGGAGAAUCAAGGCUGAGGCGUGAUGACGAGGCACUACGGUGCUGAAGCAACAAAUGCCCUGCUUCCAGGAAAAGCCUCUAAGCAUCAGGUAACAUCAAAUCGUACCCCAAACCGACACAGGUGGUCAGGUAGAGAAUACCAAGGCGCUUGAGAGAACUCGGGUGAAGGAACUAGGCAAAAUGGUGCCGUAACUUCGGGAGAAGGCACGCUGAUGGUA
rnacentral:rRNA from 1 species